UACGGGGGGGGCAAGCGUUGUUCGGAAUUACUGGGCGUAAAGGGCUCGUAGGCGGCCAACUAAGUCAUACGUGAAAUCCCUCGGCUUAACCGGGGAACUGCGUCUGAUACUGGAUGGCUUGAGUUCGGGAGAGGGAUGCGGAAUUCCAGGUGUAGCGGUGAAAUGCGUAGAUAUCUGGAGGAAUACCGGUGGCGAAGGCGGCAUCCUGGACCGACAUUGACGCUGAGGAGCGAAAGCCAGGGGAGCAAACGGG
rnacentral:rRNA from 1 species